GGUGGAUUAAAUUGUAUCAAUCCCAUGUAUUCCAACAUCCGCAGUAGUCCUGCGCUGACAAGAAACAAGAACGAGAUUUCUCUACAACUGCUGAGCCCCGAAUAUUCUUUGGCCGGCAACCCAAAACACUGGAGGAAAUAAUAAAGGUUCGUCACAGCUGCUUGAACCAACCGGACCCGCAUGGAAAUAACAAUGACCAAUGUCUUUAAUAGUUUUACCUGAAUAUUUUACCUCCGUCAGGUAAACACAUGGAAGAACUGUAAGAAAUAAUGAAAAAAAAAUUGGAAUCAUGGACACAUCAUGGUCCUUUUACAUCUCUUUUGUGGUUGUUUUGUGUGCACUUGUAGUUGAUUCUUUUUGUAUUUUCUUCGCUUUAUGGUCUUUUAAUUGACUAUCUGAUGAGAAAUGUUGACAGGGGCCCCCAAACCCCCCAUUCACUAAUCCAUCGAUUGAUCAACAUGGAGAUUAAAACUGUUCCAAGGGGCUUUAACGUCAUGAAUUAUACAUUUUACGCAUAUCAAACUUUAAUGGCCAAAAUGGCUACAUUAUGUGCUUUAAAUACUACCACAUUAUAUUUUUCUAAUCAACAGUAUUUGCUUGUAAAGGUACCACUGGAUUGAUCUGUCACAUCAUUGGAUCUUAUGUUGUUUGAAGGUUCGGAUCAGCGGAUAAUAGUAAUGUUUUCUUUCUGUGAAGAUUGAACAGAAAAUGCUCAGGUGGAUAAAAUGUGCUAUGUAUUGAACCGACUUGUAAAUAUAUUUGCCAUGUUGUUGUUGAUUAAAUAUGUAAACAAUAAUAA